UACGUAGGGGGCAAGCGUUGUUCGGAAUUACUGGGCGUAAAGGGCGCGUAGGCGGCACAGCAAGUCGGGAGUGAAAGCCCAGGGCUCAACCCCGGAAUGGCUUUCGAAACUGCUGAGCUAGAGUACAGAAGGGGCAACCGGAAUUCCCAGUGUAGCGGUGAAAUGCGUAGAUAUUGGGAAGAACACCUGAGGCGAAGGCGGGUUGCUGGGCUGAUACUGACGCUGAGGAGCGAAAGCGUGGGGAGCGAACAGG
rnacentral:rRNA from 1 species